rnacentral:sRNA from 1 species
UGUGGAGACGGAGCCAUGUCGCCCAUUACCUAAUGAAACUGAGAAGGGAGACUCAGUCUCUCUUCUAGCCCCGAGCGCAAGCUCUGCGGGACUUGGCAUCGUCCUCCCUCCACGAUCCCACACUCCGGGUUUUCCCCAUUCCCAGCUCGGCUGCACCCGAGAGACAGACGGAAGAAACUGCCAAUGGAAGGACGCAAAGCGUCAACUUUGUGUUCGCCCGCCACUCUCGGCCAAUGUGCGCUCGUGUUUCCGGAGUCCCGCCUUCCGUGUCGGGCGCCCCCUUUUGGCAGCACAGGGACGAACCCUACGUCUCGCCAUCUUGUGUGUGGCACAGGACUUAAAGGAGAAGAAGGAAGUUGUGGAAGAGGCAGAAAAUGGAAGAGACGCCCCUGCUAACGGGAAUGCUAAUGAGGAAAAUGGGGAGCAGGAGGCUGACAAUGAGGUAGAUGAAGAAGAGGAAGAAGGUGGGGAGGAAGAGGAGGAGGAAGAAGAAGGUGAUGGUGAGGAAGAGGAUGGAGAUGAAGAUGAGGAAGCUGAGUCAGCUACGGGCAAGCGGGCAGCUGAAGAUGAUGAGGAUGAUGAUGUCGAUACCAAGAAGCAGAAGACCGACGAGGAUGACUAGACAGCAAAAAAGGAAAAGUUAAACUAAAAAAAAAGGCCGCCGUGACCUAUUCACCCUCCACUUCCCGUCUCAGAAUCUAAACGUGGUCACCUUCGAGUAGAGAGGCCCGCCCGCCCACCGUGGGCAGUGCCACCCGCAGAUGACACGCGCUCUCCACCAC